GCCGUUUCCCGCCGGCGCGGCGGGCCCGAGGGGCGGUCGCUAUGGCAGCGGCGGCGCUGCUGGCGCUGCUCGCGGGGCCGCUCCUGCUCCUCCUCCUCCUCUUCGGGGGCGCGCGCCGCCUGCGCCGAGCGCGCUCUCGCCCGGGGGGGUCCCGCGCGCUCCCGCGGGGCGUGCGCGCGCUCGUGGUGACGGCGCACCCCGAUGACGAGUCGCUGUUCUUCGCCCCCGCCCUGCUCGGCCUGCGCAGGGCCGGGGCCGCCCCCGCCGUGCUCUGCUGCUCCGCAGGAAAUUAUUACAAUCAAGGAGAGAUCCGUAAGAAAGAGCUGGAGCAGAGUUGUUGUGUCCUGGGGAUUCCUGCAUCCCAUGUCACAGUCAUUGAUCACAGGGAUCUUCCAGAUAAUCCUGCUGUGGAAUGGGACACACAUCUCCUCGCCACCCUUGUGCUGAAGCACAUAGAGGCCAAGAACAUCAACCUGGUGGUGACCUUUGAUGCGGGAGGAGUGAGUGGCCACACAAACCACAUCUCUCUUUACUCUGCUGUCAGGUACCUGCAUUCAGAGAGGAAGUUACCUGAAGGCUGCCCAAGGUCGCUUAGUGGAUUCCAGUGUUAUCUCAGAGGCCUCUGGCUAAGUUGCUUUUUCAGGGCCUCCAGCUGGAACACCUGUUUGGCUCCCUAACACAGUCACAACAGGCUCUGAAAAGCUUCACCUGCUGGUGUCACAGGAGUGGACUCCUCGAUGGCAGCACUGCUCCCACCCUGCUUGGCAGGGAGCAGCCUGUUUCUCUGAACCCUUUUUCAUCUCUCCCUGGACUUGUACAUUCCUUCCCUGCUUCAUUUCAUCUCACAUUCCCAUGCAGAACAGGCUUUGCUGUCAGCACAUGGAUAUCCUUGUGAUAUCACUGGCACAGAAGGCUCUUAGAGUGCCCUUUUUUUGGGAGGCUGAAUGCCCCCAUGCCACCCCUUUGCCUGAUCUGACCGAGGAGGGCGCAGCAGGUCAGAUAGAUCCACACAGAAAUCAUUCACAGUGGUUUUUAUCCCCUAUUGCUGAGCUUUGGGGAACAAAAGGUGUAAUUGCUGCAUGAAUUAAUAUUUCUCAGGGAAAAAAAAUGAGGAAAGGGAGAGCAUGUUUUGUUAACAGAGCAGUCCAGGCUUCAGAGGGCAGUUGUGGGUAACCCUGUGUCAGGCCUCUCUUCCCAUCAUUGCAAGUAGGAAUUCACAUGGCAUUGCCAGAGUCCAUUAACAACCAUCCAGGAAAGGAAAGAUCCAUUGCCCCGUGUUUGCUCUAGCCUUGUCUUCCCUUGUUUGAAAAGCAAACGGGUGGCCAGUGGGAAUGCUGAGGACAAGAGCAAGAGGAUCCAUAUCUAUUCCUUUCCUCUGCCACAGUGCAGCACUAAUUCUUCUCUCUCAAACUACCCACAGCAGCAGCCCAGAGGGUCUCUGCAGAGAAGGGGGAAGAGAGUUCCCCCACUCGUGGCACAUCACAAGUUUCCUUCCAAGUUUGGAAACAAGAAAUUCUGUAGUGGGAGUAGAAGAACCCUCAGGGCACUUCUGUUUGUGAGCAAGUGCAGCACUUGUCCCCGCAGAGCAUCCUUUGCAGGAGCAGCUGAGACCGCUGGCAGCCAAACAGCAACUGCUCUGCUGUCACUUGUCCAGGGUGCUGUGUGCUCGUGCUGGAGUCAGUGAAUCUCUUGAGGAAGUACAUUUCCUUCCUGGAUGUGCCCAUUUCCUGCCUCCUGCC